AGAGUUUGAUCAUGGCUCAGGACGAACGCCGGCGGCGCGCCUAACACAUGCAAGUCGAACGGGAUUGAGAGAAGCUUGCUUCUUUUAAUCUAGUGGCGAACGGGUGAGUAACGCGUGAGUAACCUGCCCUGGAGUGGGGGACAACAGUUGGAAACGACUGCUAAUACCGCAUAAGCCCACGGCCCGGCAUCGGGCUGCGGGAAAAGGAUUUAUUCGCCCUAGGAUGGACUCGCGUCCAAUUAGCUAGUUGGUGAGGUAACGGCCCACCAAGGCGACGAUUGGUAGCCGGACUGAGAGGUUGAACGGCUACAUUGGGACUGAGACACGGCCCAGACUCCUACGGGAGGCAGCAGUGGGGGAUAUUGCACAAUGGGGGAAACCCUGAUGCAGCGACGCCGCGUGGAGGAAGAAGGUUUUCGGAUUGUAAACUCCUGUCGUUAGGGACGAUAAUGACGGUACCUAACAAGAAAGCACCGGCUAACUACGUGCCAGCAGCCGCGGUAAAACGUAGGGUGCAAGCGUUGUCCGGAAUUACUGGGUGUAAAGGGAGCGCAGGCGGACCGGCAAGUUGGAAGUGAAAACCAUGGGCUCAACCCAUGAAUUGCUUUCAAAACUGCUGGCCUUGAGUAGUGCAGAGGUAGGUGGAAUUCCCGGUGUAGCGGUGGAAUGCGUAGAUAUCGGGAGGAACACCAGUGGCGAAGGCGACCUACUGGGCACCAACUGACACUGAGGCUCGAAAGCAUGGGUAGCAAACAGGAUUAGAUACCCUGGUAGUCCAUGCCGUAAACGAUGAUUACUAGGUGUUGGAGGAUUGACCCCUUCAGUGCCGCAGUUAACACAAUAAGUAAUCCACCUGGGGAGUACGACCGCAAGGUUGAAACUCAAAGGAAUUGACGGGGGCCCGCACAAGCAGUGGAGUAUGUGGUUUAAUUCGAAGCAACGCGAAGAACCUUACCAGGUCUUGACAUCCGAUGCAUAGCUUAGAGAUAAGUGAAGUCCUUCGGGACAUCGAGACAGGUGGUGCAUGGUUGUCGUCAGCUUGUGUCGUGAGAUGUUGGGUUAAGUCCCGCAACGAGCGCAACCCCUAUCCUUAGUAGCCAGCAGUAAGAUGGGAACUCUAGGGGGACUGCCGGGGAUAACCCGGAGGAAGGUGGGGACGACGUCAAAUCAUCAUGCCCCUUAUGGGCUGGGCUACACACGUGCUACAAUGGUGCUAACAGAGUGAGGCGAGACUGUGAAGUUAAGCAAAUCACAAAAAUGGCAUCUCAGUUCGGAUUGUAGUCUGCAACUCGACUACAUGAAGCUGGAAUCGCUAGUAAUCGCAGAUCAGAAUGCUGCGGUGAAUACGUUCCCGGGUCUUGUACACACCGCCCGUCACACCAUGGGAGUUGGGAAUGCCCGAAGCCGGUGACCUAACCGUAAGGAAGGAGCCGUCGAAGGCAGGCUCGAUAACUGGGGUGAAGUCGUAACAAGGUA
rnacentral:rRNA from 1 species